CCAACUUUGAUAAUUUGGUUUACUUUUAUUUACGUGAAAAAUCAUCAGUGAUUGGUUGAACAACAUUGAUUAUACUUUGUAUGGGCACAUAACUUGCACAAAUUUUCCAGUGCUAUAAGUCAAUUCUUCAUAAUGUGAUAAUACAUUUUAAGAAGAAAAUUUACGUUUCUUAAAAUGACAGAAGCAUCACCAAAUGCUUUGCAAAAUCUAAAUUUAAAAUGUCAUUUCUGCUAAGUACUUCUCAUAAUCUGCUUUUCUCAAAUCUUAAUCAAUGCAUGCCAACCUUUAAUGUUAAGUUCCUUUGAUAAAAGUAAUGCAGUUGUAGUGUCCUUCCUUCACUUUAUAAGACAUGUUUGACAGUGUUUUUAUCUCUUUUGGACCAUAAAUGACCACUCAUGGCAGGGCCAUAUUAUAUCAAUGGCUUUCACUUCAAUGCAGUGUGCAAUUGGAUGCAACUACAUUUCCCAAAAGGCUAAAUAGGAUUUCCUUUUAAAAUGUUAAUAGGUCAUCAUGGAGACAGAAGAGUUUCUGCUGGAAUUUUUGUAGCGUUUAUGGCCAUAGGAGGAAGGACAGGCAUUCUAGCUCUUUCCCAAAGAACAAUUUAGCAUGAACACAUCUGACUCUGGGAUGCUGGGAGGCAUGCUAAUAGGAUUUAUCUACAGGGAAUCAUCAGUUAAAUAUGCCAGAUGAAGAGUUUGUGAUAGAGAACACUUGCUGGAUCAAAACCAGAAACCAGAGGUAAGCUUGCAAUUUAUGACAAAUGUUUAUCAUGUGCUUUUCAACUUAAAGGAACAGACAAAAGAUUCCUGAAUAUGUCUAGAUUGCCAAAAGUUUUGUUUUUUUACAUAAACAAAUUUAUCUAGAGCCAAAAAAGAAAGAUUCAGUAUUCUAUGAAAACCUUAAAAAAAAAAAAAACAAACUUUUGUUCCAUGAGGGGAAGAUGAGUGUACUUAAACCUCUUAAAUACUUUGCAGCAAAGUAAGAAACAGUGUGAACUUAAUUUUAUUCAACUUUUCUCCACAGAGUAUAGGGGAUAAAAUACUAAACCAUUCUUUAAGUGGAGUUUUACCCAAAAAUUAUUAUGUGAAAUGGGUGGGGUAAAAAGAUGAUAUAAAAAUUAGCACUGAAAAUGAUAGAGACUAUUUGAAAUAGCUUUGCAGUGAUCUAGAAAAUUCAGUCAUGACAGCAGUGAAAGAAUAUUAUAUAAAAUGAACUAACCAAAAUCUAGCAGUUAAUUUGUCCUUGAUCUUUAGAAUGCAUAAUUUAGUGAAAACAAAUUUGUCCUAAAAUUUUUAUAAAUUUCACACAUAUUUAUUAAUAAUACUUAUUUUUAGGAUUUGAAUGUGUACAUUUCAUUUAUUAUAAAUUAUAUCUGUAGUUUUACAGAGUAAGCAGAGCUCUUAGCUAGAAAAGAUGCAAUAUCUGCUAUUUAGGCUAGUGUAGUGACACCCCUUUGUUGAAUGAACUAGUUAGAACCAUUGAUUUACAUGGGGCCUGAGCUAUAAGAAGAGGGAUGACUAUGGCCUUAGUCACAAUUUCAGUGCUAACAUAAGAAGCCUUUGUGAGAGGUCUGGGGGAAGGUGAAAAUCCAGAGAGGACAGGUGGCUGGAAGAAACUGCUUGAUUAAAGUAGGAGACAUGUUUCAGCACCAAGAGAGGGAAAAAUGACUGGAACAGAGAGUCAGGCUGCUAAACAUGAUCUGAAAGUCAGAGUGCAGCACGGUUUUACUGGAAGCAUGAUAGAUACUUGAAUUUAAUAAAACACAACUCCUCUGGCUGGCUUUAUGCUUG
ensembl:lncRNA